CCCGACGCUGUGAUGUUCGUUUUCUGUGUUGUCAGAAUAAGUUUUCCUACGUUAAGCAUCCAUAUUUUUGAAGAAAGUGAUGAUGGUUUGAUUCGCAGAGGAAUCGUUUAAUUUUCUUUUUUUGUCGUAUUCCCCGAAAGAAACUAACAAAUCCAAUUAGGAACGAACAGCACACAGGGUGUUGUCGAAGAGGAACACGUAGUCUAGAUUAUGAGAACAAAUUUGAAAUUCUAGACAAUGCUCUUGAGCAAUGUGUCCGUUGUUUUUGACUUCGUUUAAUGUUGUGGCUGAAUGGACAAUGAGAGAUUGAAUCAACAACAUAUCAAGUGGGCAGCUCAUGGUCAAACUCGUUUGGCAUAAAGGGUUUGUUAGAUAAGGGUGGAGGCAGCUUUAACAAUUUAGAUCUAGCACCUAUUAGACUGGUGGUGUUGGCCCCGUGAAUCUUAUCGUCUUCAAGCUGGGUGAAAAAACAAUGAUUCAGUUGGUUUCGUGCAACAUCCUCACAAAAAUGGGACAAGACUUAACAAAAAGAGCAUAUAGAUGCAGUGUCAAACUGUACCAGUGAGUACCAGAGUAAUGUGACAAACAUUCAUGAUGGUGAUUAAUCUUCACACAGCUAACAUUUAGUUGUUUUUCUAAUGCAGUUUGGAAGCCACUUUGAGUAAACCUUUCGUCAGUUACUCACAAAAAAAGAUUGGCAAAUCUAGUCCUGAGAGAUCACUUUUUUUGUCAAGGAAAUACUGGAAAUUGGUAUUGAAAAGGUAUUCAACCAUGGCAUGUUGACCAGCUAUCUGCGGAGUGAAAAUCUACUUGACAGUGUUCAACCAGUUAAGUACAUUUUACAAAAGAUUCUGAGAAUUGCAAAAGUUAUGUGAACAAAUUUUGUAUUGGAGAAAUUCUAGGUAAAAUGAAAGCCAUUUCACAAUACAGCUGAAUAGCUAUGAAAUGCAACCAAUCCAGGAACUGAGUGUGUUGAACAACCAAACUUAUCUUGGAGAGCUGCAGAAAGAGAAUGGAACAUUACCCUGCCAAACACCUGCUUCCAAAUGGUCAAUGGCAGGGGUCUUAUUCACUGUCUGAUGAAUUUAAGUUUAAACAAGAUAUUGCUUUUGAUUACCUCUGCUGAGCUGCUUAGGAAGUUAGCUAGAGUGACGAAGAUGUGUCAUCACAGCAGAAUAAGUGUAAAAAGCAAGUUGUUCAGCAAAACGAGUGCCUUGCAUUAUUUACCACUAUUUUACGAUAUUGAGCUGAUGAUACCUGGUAAACCUGCAAUUUGUUUUUAUGUAGACUUCAUGGUUUUUGAGUUACGUCAAAAAUAAAAAUAGGUACGAUAGAAA